UACGUAGGGUCCGAGCGUUGUCCGGAUUUACUGGGCGUAAAGGGCGCGCAGGCGGCGGUGCUGGCCCGGCGUGAAAGCCCCCGGCUCAACCGGGGAGGGUCGUCGGGGACCGCACCGCUUGAGGGCGGUAGGGGCCGGUGGAAUGCCUGGUGUAGUGGUGAAAUGCGUAGAGAUCAGGCAGAACACCUGGGGCGAAGGCGGCCGGCUGGGCCGACCCUGACGCUGAGGCGCGAAGGCGUGGGGAGCGAACGGG
rnacentral:rRNA from 1 species